AGAAGCUUAGGAUCAUGUAAACCCGGGGCCUUCAAAGCCUUAAAAAAGAGUCCCACCCUCUUAGCUCCUG
rnacentral:tRNA from 1 species